UUGGAGGGCAAGUCUGGUGCCAGCAGCCGCGGUAAUUCCAGCUCCAAUAGCGUAUAUUAAAGUUGUUGCAGUUAAAAAGCUCGUAGUUGAAUUUCGGGAUUGACGUGAUGGUCAUGCCUUAAGGGGUAUGAACUGUUACAGUUGAUUUCUCACCUUCUGGAGAAACUUGAUGUCCUUUAUUGGGUGUCUUGCGGAUCCAGGACCUUUACCUUGAAAAAAUUAGAGUGUUUAAAGCAGGCAUUUUUGCUCGAAUACAUUAGCAUGGAAUAAUAGAAUAGGACGGCAUGGUUCUAUUUUGUUGGUUUCUAGGAUCACCGUAAUGAUUAAUAGGGAUAGUUGGGGGCAUUAGUAUUCAAUUGUCAGAGGUGAAAUUCUUGGAUUUAUUGAAGACUAACUACUGCGAAAGCAUUUGCCAAGGAUGUUUUCAUUAAUCAAGAACGUAAGUUAGGGGAUCGAAGACGAUCAGAUACCGUCGUAGUCUUAACCAUAAACUAUGCCGACUAGGAAUCAGACGAUGUUAAUUUUUUAAUGACUCGUUUGGCACCUUACGGGAAACCAAAGUGUUUGGGUUC
rnacentral:rRNA from 1 species